rnacentral:lncRNA from 1 species
CUACAAGUAGUGGGUAUGUGCCUUGCACACGCCACUUAACCUCUCCCAGCCUUGGAGGUCUCUUCCGCCUAAAGUAGGAAAUCUUUUCUUGGCACUAAAAGAAAGACACAAUGGCUGGGCACGGUGGCUCAUGCCUGUAAUCCCAGCACUUUGGGAGGCCAAGGCAGGUGGAUCACGAAGUCAGGAGUUCAAGACCAGCGAGACUCUGUCUCAAAGAAAAAAAAAAAAGGAAAAUACUAUUUAUUACCAAGACUAUGAGGACAACACCUUGUGGCCAGGAAAGGUGCAAUCCAUCAUUGUUUUCUAGUUGGUUGUUAAGAUUUCUGUGAUGAAUACAACUCAACAUCAGAUCUCUGCCAUAUUGUGUGUCAGGCACACAGGGCAAGAAAUUGAAGCUGCCAGCCAACAGCCAGAGAGAAACCAAGGCCUGCCAACAACUAGCUACCUUAGCAAGAAAAUCCAAGAAAAUCAAUUUGCAUCUAAAAGCGCCUUCACGGAGUUGGCCUGGUUUUGUGGCAGGCAUCCCAGCUUGCUUAGAGAAGGAGAAGUUGAAGUCGGCCUCACAGAGGAUUGUUUGGUCCCAGCUGAAUAACCUGCUGGCAUCCACUGUGAGCAGAGUGGUAAGCAGAUUAUGGGUAAGCAGAUAUUAAUAUUCUGAUUAAACAUUUUCAAACCUCAUACCGCUAUUUUAAAAAAUAAUUGCACUACUCUUGAGAGCACUCUUAUAGUUCCCAUUCUGAAACCACUUUUAGCUUUCUAUAUAUUCACGAUCUUAAAGUCUCUAUCUACAGUUUAUUUCCCAGGAUUAAAACUUUUUCCCUUCACCACCUUAACUGCAAUGUAAAAUUCAUGUGAAUAUGACUUUCUUGGACAAUCUUAAUAGCUUAAAAUCUUUACAUGACACUCUCUUCCUUCCCAGAUCUCUUCUUGAAAAAGACAGAGCUGCAGUCAUCUUCGGUCUCAGGUUCUAUAAAAACCCAGCACAGCCUUGGCAGGCCUCCUGGAAUGACUUCUUGUUUCCUGAGGACCCAUUGAUUUAACAAACUAACAAACGUAAAUAACAGAAGCUAUGAAAGAAACAUUUGCAGCAUCAGACCUUCUUCUCUAGAACUUUCUUCUGCCCCAUGUGGUGGUCACUGCCCAGCUCAAGAGAUAGUCCUGGAGAGGACACAGAGGCAACAAGGUCCAGAGACUUGCCUCAGGGUCACCUCAGGGGCCCUUCCAAUCAUGCUUCCCCCAGUCCCCGAAGCAUCUUCCAGCAGCCAACAUGUUGGUGAAUGGGGUCCUAAACCCUGCACUGCCCAGGAACUGUGCUGUGGAGUCUGGCCACGUUCCCUUAUUGGGGCAGGCAUGAGGCAGUGACUAAAGUGUCCUAAAGCUCCCAGUGAAGGCUCUGAGAUGGCUGGACCGCCCACUGCAUCCUUGGCCCUACAGAAAGAGGGCUCCAUGGAGCAUGCACAGAAGCAGCAAGGGGCAGUGUGACACUGGGAGAGGUACUAAGGAGGGGGCGGCCUUCUGAUCCACGCAAGGAUUCUUAAGGACCUCCUGGCUCAAAACAAUCACUUCCUCUCUUGCUGUGGUUCGUGGACAAUGGAGUCCCAAAGGGAGGCCUUUCCUUGCAACCUCAAAGGGAGGAAAGCCUGCUUUCACAGCUGGCAGGGCCUGCGGACAGCCAGCCAGCUACCUGCACCAACUACCGUCCACCUGUCUCCCGUCACAUCCCCCCCUCUACCCCCGAGUGGCUGGUCUGCGGCGCUUCGGACGUGCUCCUUGCCUUGCAUUCACUCUCCCUCCCGCGCAUUCAGUGGAUGUGUCCCACGUGGAGAAGGCGAAGUUGGGAAGGGGCAGCCCUCGCGAAGGGCCACUUGGUCUGGGCACUUAUUCACUGGGGUGGAAUGGGAUGGCAGCGGAGCAGGGGACAGCCUAGGCUAAAAGGCCGCCCGGGGGCAGCCCCUCCAGGUAACCCGUCCCGCGGCCCGCCAGCAUGGAGCACCAGGCCUGGCUGUCAGC